UACGUAGGGGGCGAGCGUUGUCCGAAGUUACUGGGCGUAAAGCGCGCGUAGGCGGGUCUUUAAGUGAGAGGUGAAAGGUUCAGGGCUCAACCCGGACACUGCCUUUCAUACUGGGGACCUUGAGUGCAGGAGAGGCGAGUGGAAUGGUCGGUGUAGCGGUGAAAUGCGUAGAUAUCGAUCGGAACACCCAUGGCGAAGGCAGCUCGCUGGCCUGUAACUGACGCUGAGGUGCGAAAGCGUGGGGAGCAAACAGG
rnacentral:rRNA from 1 species